rnacentral:rRNA from 1 species
CCUACGGGCGGCAGCAGUGAGGAAUAUUGGUCAAUGGGCGAGAGCCUGAACCAGCCAAGUCGCGUGAGGGAGUACUGCCCUAUGGGUUGUAAACCUCUUUUGUCGGGGAGCAAAAGCCGGACGUGUCCGGCUGUGAGAGUACCCGAAGAAAAAGCAUCGGCUAACUCCGUGCCAGCAGCCGCGGUAAUACGGGGGAUGCGAGCGUUAUCCGGAUUUAUUGGGUUUAAAGGGUGCGCAGGCGGAUUUUUAAGUCAGCGGUAAAAUCGUGGGGCUCAACCCCAUCCAGCCGUUGAAACUGGGGAUCUAGAGUGUGCGAGAGGGAUGCGGAAUGCGUGGUGUAGCGGUGAAAUGCAUAGAUAUCACGCAGAACCCCGAUUGCGAAGGCAGCAUACCGGUGAACAACUGACGCUCAGGCACGAAAGCGUGGGUAUCGAACAGGAUUAGAUACCCCAGUAGUC